AGAGUUUGAUCAUGGCUCAGGACGAACGCUGGCGGCGUGCCUAAUACAUGCAAGUAGAACGCUGAAGAAAGGAGCUUGCUUCUUUUGGAUGAGUUGCGAACGGGUGAGUAACGCGUAGGUAACCUGCCUUGUAGCGGGGGAUAACUAUUGGAAACGAUAGCUAAUACCGCAUAACAGCUUUUGACACAUGUUAGAAGCUUGAAAGAUGCAAUUGCAUCACUACGAGAUGGACCUGCGUUGUAUUAGCUAGUAGGUAGGGUAACGGCCUACCUAGGCGACGAUACAUAGCCGACCUGAGAGGGUGAUCGGCCACACUGGGACUGAGACACGGCCCAGACUCCUACGGGAGGCAGCAGUAGGGAAUCUUCGGCAAUGGGGGCAACCCUGACCGAGCAACGCCGCGUGAGUGAAGAAGGUUUUCGGAUCGUAAAGCUCUGUUGUAAGAGAAGAACGUGUGUGAGAGUGGGAAGUUCACACAGUGACGGUAACUUACCAGAAAGGGACGGCUAACUACGUGCCAGCAGCCGCGGUAAUACGUAGGUCCCGAGCGUUGUCCGGAUUUAUUGGGCGUAAAGCGAGCGCAGGCGGUUUAAUAAGUCUGAAGUUAAAGGCAGUGGCUUAACCAUUGUUCGCUUUGGAAACUGUUAAACUUGAGUGCAGAAGGGGAGAGUGGAAUUCCAUGUGUAGCGGUGAAAUGCGUAGAUAUAUGGAGGAACACCGGUGGCGAAAGCGGCUCUCUGGUCUGUAACUGACGCUGAGGCUCGAAAGCGUGGGGAGCAAACAGGAUUAGAUACCCUGUAGUCCACGCCGUAAACGAUGAGUGCUAGGUGUUAGGCCCUUUCCGGGGCUUAGUGCCGCAGCUAACGCAUUAAGCACUCCGCCUGGGGAGUACGACCGCAAGGUGAAACUCAAAGGAAUUGACGG
rnacentral:rRNA from 1 species